GGGUAAGGAGCCGAAUCGACGCC
rnacentral:siRNA from 1 species